UACGUAGGGUGCAAGCGUUGUCCGGAAUUAUUGGGCGUAAAGGGCUCGUAGGCGGUCCAUCGCGUCGGGAGUGAAAAGCUGGGGCUCAACCCCAGUCCUGCUUCCGAUACGGGUGGACUAGAGGUAUGCAGGGGAGAACGGAAUUCCUGGUGUAGCGGUGAAAUGCGUAGAUAUCUGGAGGAACACCGGUGGCGAAGGCGGCUUUCUGGACAAAUACCGACGCUGAGGCACGAAAGCUAGGGGAGCAAACAGG
rnacentral:rRNA from 1 species